AGUGAACGCUGGCGGCAGGCCUAACACAUGCAAGUCGAGCGGCAGCGCGUCCGACCACCCUCGGGUGGUCGGAUGGCGGCGAGCGGCGGACGGGUGAGGAAUGCAUCGGAAUCUGCCUCGUUGUGGGGGAUAACGUAGGGAAACUUACGCUAAUACCGCAUACGACCUACGGGUGAAAGUGGGGGACCUUCGGGCCUCACGCGAUGAGAUGAGCCGAUGCCGGAUUAGCUAGUUGGCGGGGUAAAGGCCCACCAAGGCGACGAUCGAUAGCUGGUCUGAGAGGAUGAUCAGCCACACUGGAACUGAGACACGGUCCAGACUCCUACGGGAGGCAGCAGUAGGGAAUAUUGGACAAUGGGGGCAACCCUGAUCCAGCCAUGCCGCGUGAGUGAAGAAGGCCCUCGGGUUGUAAAGCUCUUUUGUCCGGAAAGAAAAGCAAUCGGUUAAUACCCGGUUGUUCUGACGGUACCGGAAGAAUAAGCACCGGCUAACUUCGUGCCAGCAG
rnacentral:rRNA from 1 species